ACAAGGAAGUCAUUCAGAGAGAAACGUCACCCCUCCCCACAAAAAAGAAUGGUAUUCCAAUCAUCAACCACCAAAAAACCCCUCCCCUGCACAAAAUGGAACAGGAGCAUUGACCCCCCAAGAUCCCCUCCCCCACACAAAAAAACUAACAAAACAUCAACCCUCAAACACCCCCCACUCACACAACAAAACGGAAAAAGAACGGGCAAUAAAAGAACACAGAAUAUAAAAACCACAAGUCUGAAAAAGUCCACAAUCCAAAAACGCAACAGUCCAAUCCAUUAACACAGAACCACAAUAUCAUUCUACAAUACCACCGACAUUCUUCGAAAGAGAGGGACACCACACGAGUCUCUUGACUUUUGAACUCAGUGCUUCGACUAAUAAAAGUAAUCAUUCCAUCAGCCUUCUUAACCACCUUACUGACCUGUGUAGCCACUUUCAAGGAGCUGUGAACUUGGACCCCAAGAUGUCUCUGCUCAGCAAACACUGAUAACACUUCUUGCCCUACUGAGGAGCAUGAAUGCUGCCCAGUAGCCCACUUGAUUGGCUCUCAAAACCUUAAUUCCCUGCACCCCCAACACAUAGUGGUUGCAGUGUCUCCCAUCUAUAAAAUAUAAUGAAGUUUUUUUGCCUAGGAUGUUCUAACAGCAUCAUCUAAAUCUGUGACCUCUACCAUGGGGAAUAAUAAGGGCAGCAGACACACCAGAAACACUAACACCUACAGCUUCCCGUCCAAGUUGCACACCAUCCUGAAUUAUAAAAAUAUCACUAUUCUUCCAUCAUUGUUAGUUCAAAAUCCCGGAAUUCCUUAUCCAACAUCACUGUGAGAGUACUUUCACCAUAAUGACUACAGCAGGUCAGGACCUUUUUGCUUCCAAAGCAGUUUCUACUGCACCAAGCAAACCACAGCCAGACUAGCAUCAACUGUGAAGAAUGAGUUAAUCUCUCAGUCAACUUCAUCAACGAGGGCAGAUCACAUAUUCUUUGAGCCCCUGACUUCUUUACAAAGCUACUUGUGAACUGUGAAGCCAACCACUGAUGCGGUGUUCCUUGGACUGGCUGAUUUCAAGGACGAAAGAAUCACUGACACCUCCAGGAUGGAUUGAGCAAAGAGUACCUCUGUAGGUGGAUGCAACUAUUUUUGUUUAGAUUUGCUUUGGCAUAAACCUCUUCUCUGUCAGGUUGAAGUGUGAAAUGUUUUUGAAAUAUUUUAGUUGCAUGUAGAUGUCCUUAUAUGUAAUUCUCCAUAAGGUUUAGUUAGAGCAAUCGCAUCAAUUUGUCAAUACAUCUGUAUUAUUUUCUCUGUUUCAUCUGCUAAACCCAUUUGUCUUAUCUUUGUGUACAUACUUCUGAAUAGCUACCCAGAACACAUACCUGAAUUUGACAAUAGUAACCUCUGUAUAGUUAGAUGCAUUUGUAGCAAUGGAGCUUGUCUGAUUAAUGACAAUUCUGGCUAUUCUUGAUAUGGCGAAAAAUUAUUAAUUAUGAAAUUUGAGUACUCUCUAUCCUAAAAGCAAAACAAAGGAUAAUAAAUAAUAAAAUAAAUCUAAAAUAAAAUACUUGCCAUAAACUUCAAAAAUGUCUAAUGAUAAGGAGCUACUGAUAUGGAUAAUGUCUUCUUACGCAUUUGAAAACCCAACCUAACAAUGUGGACCACAGCUUUGUUCGUCUGCUCUACUAGAUUUUAAAAUGAAAGCUGUAAUCUGUAUUACACAGGAUCAUUAAAUGCUGCAUUUUACACUUGAGCAACUGCAUUUUGAUUAUCUACUGCAUUUCAAAGUAAGCUGAUUUGCUUCUUGAGACUUAAUUACUUGCUGCAGAUUUCCCAUUAUUAUAGUCAGUUCAUAAACAUGGUUGAAACCACUAUUGGAAUUAAAAUGAUGCUAGGAAGUGAUAAACAAAUACUAAAGUGUUUACUUUCACCACAAACUACUAAAAAUCCAAGUGAUACAACUGCUACAUGGCACAAAGAUUUACGUCAUUAUUAUUGACUCCAACCACAGUUGUAAAUUUUAAGUUCUAUUUUGUCAGGCACCAGAAAAAGAGACAAAAACAACAGUUUUCACUGUUAUAACUAUUUUUACAAUUGAUUUGACAGAACAGAAGUUGAUCUUGAUAUUAUGACAUUUGGUCUUUUUGGGGUUCUGGCAUCUUUAUUUACUGUAAAACUAUCCACACAAUCAAUGAAUAAAGAUAGAAAGUGUUACUUCUAACAGAGCUGUGUUUCAUAAAGCAAUCAGCUACAAAGGGAAAUCAUUUCAAGUACUUGCUACAUGCACUGCAAGAUAUCAGAUAUUUCAGAAGGCGUAUCAUUGUAGAAUGUGAGCUUAUGUCAUUUCUAACCAUCGCCGGUAGGUUUGAAAAUGUUGUAAUACACCUUCUUUUGUCUAAUGAUCAUAUAAAAAUUCCAUUCUAUAUUGUGUUUGAAUCAUCUGACGUUCCUUCUAAUUUAGAUCAAGUAUAUUGGUUUUAUAUUCUAAGUAUUUAUUUCCUAGCUUGAAUGAUUAUUAUCGGAGAAUUAUCAUCUUUAAAAUAUUCUGCUACUCCAUAAGUAUAUUGAUUGCUUUAUUUACACCAAUAAAGGGGCAUGAUAGGAUUUUUACCUGAUUAAUUACUUUAAGCAGCAAUAACGAGUAAUGAAAUGUUUGAUGCUGUUUCUGCCGCGUUACCUAUAAAGCAUCAAGAUUUGUGUUAAAAAGGUCUCUAACAAAUGUUGUGCAAUAGAUUAUACAAACACCAUAUUGGUUGGAAUGUAGUUCAUGUAAUAAACUCCAUUGUCACCAUAUAAAAUAUCAUAAGGAUAUUUUAUUCCCCUAAUGAAAAUACCAAAUCCUCAACAACAAAACGAUAAGCAAAUAGAACUUCUUAGAAUAAGGAAUCACUGUGUUAAUUGAAUGCAUCAGCUACCCCCAUUAAAGAUUCACAAAAUACAUUAUAUAUAUGUAAAUAUGUAAACACUCUAGGCAAGUAGCUCUAUACAAAACAUUUACCUUUUAAUCUGAUACAGAAGAGGGAAAAGACUCCAUUAGCAUUACAAGACUGUUGAUAGCAAUUUCCGUGGCUUACUGACAGUAUUAUAUGAAACAGCUUAAGAGGUGUCUUUCUUUCCACAUUGUUAGUUCUUACAUUUAUGAGAGAAAUGAAUCAUAAUCAGAAUGCCAUUUUCCAUUUUUUCCAUUAAAGCAUGUCCACUAAUUAUUGUUGGUGUAGUCUUACCACACAGUAUGUUGA